GACAGAGACAGCAGGAACACAAGCAGCGGGAGUGGGAGAGGGAGAAGCAGGCUUCCCGCCGAGGAGGAAGCCCGAUGUGGACUCGAUCGCAGGACCCUGGGAUCAUGACCUGAGCCGAAGGCAGAUGCUUAAUGACUAAGCCACCCAGGCGCCCGUGAUGUGACUUUUUAAUGACAAAUGUCAUUACAUGACUCCAUUACCAAUAUUCCUCUCACAGCUGAAGCUCUGACAAAGUCACAGGUCAAUAAAUAAUGCUGCCAGGUAGCAAAAGUGUUCAAAGAUAAGGGAAAGAUGGAAGGCCAAUACCAUGAAAUUUACACGGCUCUUAACAGAUCCUGGUUCCUUCCUGCUGUGAACUUCAUGCCAGAAUUCUGCUUUACUGUGCUUCAGAUAUGGACAAGAUGAAAGAAGCUCUUAUAUCCUAUAAAGAGAGGUCAAUGGUUCCUUUCUGAGGGUCCUUUAUUCUAGAAAUUCCUACAAUAAAAUCCAGGGAUGGCUGAGAGAUGCUGAGAUGUUUUCAC
rnacentral:lncRNA from 1 species